UACAGAGGGGGCAAGCGUUGUUCGGAAUUACUGGGCGUAAAGGGCGCGUAGGCGGCCUUCUAAGUCGAACGUGAAAUCCCCGGGCUCAACCCGGGAACUGCGUCCGAUACUGGAAGGCUUGAAUCCGGGAGAGGGAUGCGGAAUUCCAGGUGUAGCGGUGAAAUGCGUAGAUAUCUGGAGGAACACCGGUGGCGAAGGCGGGUUGCUGGGCCGACACUGACGCUGAUGCGCGAAAGCCAGGGGAGCGAACGGG
rnacentral:rRNA from 1 species